UGACUAAUAUUUGCUGAGUUGUGUGGUGACCAUUGAUUGAUUGAUUGAUUAAACAACUGUACAGGGCACUGAUCAUGUGUAGGGAACCAUGCUAGGGACCACAGAGGUUACAAAUGGCUCACAGUCUUUUAAGAUCAGCAUCUGUAGGCAAAGGAGCCUUGUGAGGGGAGGAAGAACUUUACCCUACUAUAAUAUCCAAUGCCAUCUUUCCCUCAGGUAAGUAUUCUCUGAAAAGGAAAAUGGAUGCUUUUUUUUAUUAAUUUUAAAUAAAGUAUCAGUAAAAGCAUCUUUCACAGAUUUAAAAAAUACAGUCUAAAUAAAAAGAAAACAAUUAUUAUUCCAAAAGUAUUCAUGAUAAGUCCUUUAUACUUUCCUCCUCUGAUUCCCAAUUACUUCUCCUAUGUAGAAUGCUGGAACCGACAUCGUGUAAGACAAAGAAAACAGUAACAUGGACAAUUCAAUUAUUAUACAAGGUAGGAAAUGCUAGGGGCCCUAGGCAAUGUAUAGCUAAAGUGAUUUGAGGGUUUGGAAGAAGGAAUGAUCACCACUUCUACCAGCCAGUGUCUUUGGCUGCAAACAGUAGAAACUUGCAGUGGCUGAUUUUACAAAAGAGUUCUGUGGACGGGUACCAAGUUCUUCAUAAAAUAAAAAGAUAAGCCAAAGAAACCAACACUGGCAAAGACUGGAGCAGAGCAGCUGCAGGGGUCCAGGAGCAGAAAUAAUGGAUGCGUUUUUUAGGGUAUGAAAGAGCUCCAUGCUUGCAUCAUUCAAGUAUCAAAUUGCAAAGAGAUAGAGUCUGAAGGAGAACUAGAGCAAGAUGGAGAGGGAGUGUUUCUGCUUGGCCUAGUGUCACAGCUGCAUCCCCUACCCAAGGGUGCAGCAUUUUGUGUCAUUAUCCCAUAUCAUGACAACCCCAAAGUAAAAUCCUUGUGUUCCUUUGAGAAGAAUGGUGAAUGAAUGAUACCAGGCAAGAAAAAAAGCCAUCAGCUCAAUGCUUAUUGAGCUCGGAGUAGGAGAGUCAGAGUUUUCAUGAAAGAGUUGGCUUUGGAAUUAGGCCUUAAAAAACAAACAACAUUUGAAUAUGUAGGGAUGGGGAGAAGGGUUGAUAAGAACAGAGCCACAUAGAAUAGGGCCUGCCCAACACAGGUAUAUUGGGAAAAGAGGAUGGUUCCAUUUGGAGAAAGUAUAGGAUGGGAAUAUAUCAUAAAGUGUCAUGAAUGCCAGCCUAAGGAAUUUGUUUUUAUACUGUAAGCAAUGAAUGGAUUGAAAUUUUUUUAGAUGGGAUAUAUAGCUAUGUGAUUAGAUUUGGAAUUAGCUAAAUACAGCUGACCAUAGAACAACACAGGAGUUGGGGUACCAACCCUCCCUGGAGUGGAAAAUCUGAGUAUACCUUACAGUUGGCCUGCCUUAUUUGCGGUCCCUCCAUACCUGCAUGGCCUGCCUUGUUCAAGGUUCCUCCAUAUGCUCGCUUCUGUGUCUGCUGAUUCAACCAACCAUGGAUUGUAUAUGUUUACUUGAAAAAAAUCCUUUUCCAAGUGGACCUGCACAGUUCAAACCAUGUUGUUCAAGGGUCAAAUUUUAUUUUAUUUUAUUUUUUUAAGGAAAGUCUCUCCCACGAAAAGGGUUAAAUGGGAGAAGAGAUUGUGUGCAAGAAAACCAUUAAGAGCAUUAUAGCAAAAGUAUGGUCUAGAAUUGUAAUGGCUGUGGGAAUGGCGUUGAGGAGACGGUGCAAGAAACAUCGUAAAAGUGCUGUUUAACAGCAAGGCUUGAUCUCACCUGUACCCCCAGGAGGUGAAGCUAAAUGUGGGACUGAAAAUUCAGUCAUCAAAAUCCAUGAAACAUUGUUCAUAGAAAUACUAACCAUGCAAUUUAGCCACUAAAUUCUUAAUCAGUUAAUCAAAUGUUCUUCAUGAUUAAAAUCAAGCUAUUUGAGAAAAUCCCUAAAUGCAUAAUCCUGUAGCUCGCAACUUCAAAGUGAAGGAAAUCGAUUCCAAUAAUAUUUAUCCACCUUCCACUGAAAACAACAGAAAAGAUACUUUGUGGGAAGGGGAGGCAAACUUUUUUCUGGAAAAGGUCAUACAGUAAACAUUUUAGUCUUUGUGAGGCAUGCAAUUUUCAUUGUAACUUCUUAACUCAGUAAGAAAGCAGCUGCAAACAAUAUUUAUUUAUGUAUGUAUGUAUUUAUUUAUUUAUUUAUUUUUAGGGCUGCACCUGCGGCACAUGGAAGUUCCCAGGCUAGGGAUCGAAUUGGAGCUACAGCUGCCGGCCUACAUCACAACCACAGCAAUUCAGGGUCCAAACCACGUCUUCGACCUAUACACUACAGCUCAAGGCAAUGCUGGAUCGAGGCCAGGGAUCCAACUUGCAUCCUCAUGGAUACUAGUCAGGUUCAUUUCUGCUGAGCCACAAAGGGAACUCCUGCAAACAAUAUUUAAAUGAAUGAAGGCAGGAGAUGGAGUUCCCGUCGUGGCUCAGUGGUUAACAAAUCUGACUAUGAACCAUGAGGUUGCGGGUUCCAUCCCUGGCCUUGCUCAGUGGGUUAAGGAUCCAGCAUUGCCAUGAGCUGUGGUGUAGGUUGCAGACGCGGCCCGGAUCCUGCGUUGCUGUGGCUCUGGGGUAGGUCUGCGGCUACAGCUCCAAUUUGAUCCCUAGCCUGGGAAUCUCCAUAUGCCGAGGGAACAGCCCCAAAAAUGCCAAAAAGACAAAAAAGCAAAAACAAAAAACAGGCAGGAGAUUGGAAUUCACACUUGCUAAUAGUGUCAAUGGCUACUACCAGAGCUUUAGAAAUCAGAACCACAUUUCCUUCAUGCGUCAACACAUGCGUCAACAAUAUGAGCUCAUUCUGAAAGAUAGUAGUUGAACUAGAAGAGAUAAUUCAUGAGAACCAAUUAACAUCUCAAUAAUUGAUUCUUUGGAUUUCCAUUGUGGGUCAGCAACAAUGAACAACUAGUAUCCAUGAAGAUGUGGAAAGGAUCCAACGUUGCUUUGAAGUGUGGUAUAGGUUGCCGACUCGGCUGGGAUUGCACAUUGCUGUGGCUGUGGCAUAGACAGGCAGCUACAGGUCUGAUUUGACCCCUAGCCUGGGACCUUCCAUAUGCCACGGGUGUUGCCCUAAAAAAAAAAAAAGAUUCUGCUCUACUUGUUUUUGUUUCAAAUAAAUGGUGUUUUCCUGUCAGCUUUCUUUUCUAAUAUAGUAUGCUAUUAAUAUUUAAAUACAGAUUUGGCUAAAGCAGCAGAGGCAUUCCAAAAAAUCACUGGUUUGGACAAGAUAGAAUUCCCUCUCUCUCAAAUAAUAGUCUGAGCACAGCAGCCUAAGGCUUGAAGGGAAACUUGAUAGUGUCAGAGGUACAGGCUUCUUCUAUCUUUUGCUCUAUCAUCCUCAGCACACAGCUUUCAACUCAGUCUGAGGGCUGCUCCAGCUCCUACCAUCAUAUUUGCAUCCCACACAGUGAUAAGAGGGAAAGAAAGAGAAGAAGGCCACGCUCCUUGACUUUAAGUGCAUGACCUGGAAGUCGUGUAUUACUUCUGUUCAUAUCCUAUCAGUCAGCACUUAGUGACAUAUCUACAGCUAGCUGCAGAGGGUGUGGGAAGUGAGAAACAGAAUCUUUAUCUUAGUAUCUGUAUACUAAGUUGGAAGUUCUAGUCUUACAGGAAGAUGGGAGAAUAGAAUUGUAGAAAUAUUGGAAGAAAAAAAAAUAUUGGAAGAUAGCAGGAAUUCUGUGCCCAGAGUUGUUGCAUAUUUAUAUAUAUAUAUAAAAAAAUUCCCUAUAUUCUAUACAGAUAACAUUUUGUUGCUUCACUCAGAAGGGAGCCAAUCUAAAUAUUUUAAUGAUUUUUAAUGAUUCACUUAAACUAAAAAUAAGUAUCAAUUAUUCUCUUGGUGGCUCCUUUUCCAGGGCUUUUACUUUAGUAGCUUCCAUAAAGUCAUUCAUUCAACAAAUAUUUUUGAGCAUCUACCUAGGCACGUAAACACCCUAAUUUCCUACACUGCUAACAACUUUAUUCUCGCAUGUUAUUUCUAUUGAAGCCAUGACCUUAGAACAUGAAGUAAAGGCUCCUAAAAGCAAGGGGAAUAAGCACUGGGAGCCAUGGUUGUUUGAAUACAAAGUGAGGAGCCCUUCCAAAUCUCCAGCAGCCUUUCAAAUCCACCCCCAGUCAACACAGGACUCCAAACAACAGCCUGUUUACUGUGCAAACGCAGUUUCAAGGGGAGUCCACUAGCUCUCUUUUCUAAAAGACUGCCAUCCUUGCCCAUCCUUUCUAGAAAUUCUAGACCACUCGGUGUGGGGAUUUGCACCAAUAUUUAGGUGCCAACUCUCUCCCAGUCUCCCAAUGGGAAGAUUACAGCGGAUCCUGAAAUAAGAGCCUACCUGCAUGUAUCAGAGUCUUUCUCAAGAUGUAUUUUUUAAAAAGAAAGAAAAGCAAGCGGGCAAACACUAAGCACUCCACCUGGCAUGACUUCAGAAUGCUUGUGAUUAAGAUAUUCUGCCUAUUGUUAGUUGAAGAUCUAGGCCUGCCUUGCUCCACAUAAAUAGAAGCUCUGUUUCUCAGCUGCCCGCUCACAUCCUCUUACAUGUCCUUAGGGUGCUAGAACAGCAGGGUUUCUCUAAGUGGUUCUUAGGCUCGAUGAACAUGAAAAGAAACAGCGAAGGGCUCCUGAAAGCAUUUACAUUGACGAGUAAUAUGUAUCCACAGUACGUUUUUCCUUUUCUUGCCAUAAAGUGAAAGCCUUUGUGCGCUGCUCUCCGUUGUUAGCACCUAGGGUAAUGGAGGUGGUGGCAGUGUGGCCAGCAGCAGGAUUUGGUCAAAAUUAAUUAAGUGAGGCGGUUUGGACUGCAGCAUCCUCACUCCUCCCUCGGCCACUCCCUUGUACUUUACCUGGUUGGAGUUCAGGGAGCAUGGAGGAGGGGAGGGAAAGAGUGGUGUGGCCUUGCAAAGUAGAAAAAAUGAGAAGCAUUCAUUUGGGGUUUAGUUACCUGUCAGGUGGUUGGAGAAGAAGCCAC
rnacentral:lncRNA from 9 species